rnacentral:rRNA from 1 species
CCCUUAGAUGUUCUGGGCAGCACGCGCGCUACAAUGGUCUUCGCAAACGGAUGCAUUCUCGAAGGAGAAUGCCAAUCUUGGAAUCUAUGCCUUGGUCGGGACAGUUGCUUGCAAUUUUUCGACUCGAACCAGGAAUUCCUUGUAAUCGUGAUUCAUCACAUCACGAUGAAUACGUCCCUGCCCUUUGUACACACCGCCCGUCGCUCCUACCGAUUGAAUGAUCCGAUGAAUACCAUGGAUUGAGAGUACGAAUGGGUUCGCCUAUUUCUGCUUCUCGAGAAGUGGAGUAAAUCUUAUCAUUUAGAGGAAGGAGAAGUCGUAACA